rnacentral:rRNA from 1 species
GCGGAGGGAUCAUUACCGAGUUUACAACUCCCAAACCCCUGUGAACAUACCAAUUGUUGCCUCGGCGGAUCAGCCCGCUCCCGGUAAAACGGGACGGCCCGCCAGAGGACCCCUAAACUCUGUUUCUAUAUGUAACUUCUGAGUAAAACCAUAAAUAAAUCAAAACUUUCAACAACGGAUCUCUUGGUUCUGGCAUCGAUGAAGAACGCAGCAAAAUGCGAUAAGUAAUGUGAAUUGCAGAAUUCAGUGAAUCAUCGAAUCUUUGAACGCACAUUGCGCCCGCCAGUAUUCUGGCGGGCAUGCCUGUUCGAGCGUCAUUUCAACCCUCAAGCCCAGCUUGGUGUUGGGACUCGCGAGUCAAAUCGCGUUCCCCAAAUUGAUUGGCGGUCACGUCGAGCUUCCAUAGCGUAGUAGUAAAACCCUCGUUACUGGUAAUCGUCGCGGCCACGCCGUUAAACCCCAACUUCUGAAUGUUGACCUCGGAUCAGGUAGGAAUACCCGCUGAACUUAAGCAUAUCAAUAAGCCGGGAGG